rnacentral:rRNA from 1 species
AGAGUUUGAUCCUGGCUCAGAUUGAACGCUGGCGGCAGGCCUAACACAUGCCCGUCGAGCGGUAGAGAGAAGCUUGCUUCUCUUGAGAGCGGCGGACGGGUGAGUAAUGCCUAGGAAUCUGCCUGGUAGUGGGGGAUACCGUUCGGAAACGGACGCUAAUACCGCAUACGUCCUACGGGAGAAAGCAGGGGACCUUCGGGCCUUGCGCUAUCAGAUGAGCCUAGGUCGGAUUAGCUAGUUGGUGAGGUAAUGGCUCACCAAGGCGACGAUCCGUAACUGGUCUGAGAGGAUGAUCAGUCACACUGGAACUGAGACACUGUCCAGACUCCUACGGGAGGCAGCAGUGGGGAAUAUUGGACAUGGCGAAAGGCUUGAUCCAGCAUGCCGCGUGUGUGAAGAAGGCCUCGAUGUAAGCACUUAAGUUCGGAGGAAGGUGUAGAUUAUACCUGGCAUUUGGAACGUUACCCGACCGAUAAGGAACCGGUUAAUUUGGGGCCAGUAUCCGGGUAAAAUAC